CCUCCCUACUCCUUACAUUGUACAAAAUUGUAAUUUCAGUAAACUGACAGAUAUGUUUCAACAAACGUAUUAUAAUAAUCUAUGUAUCAUCUUUUAACUUUCGAUGAGAACAUCUGGUAUUACGUAGAUAUACCAGUUAAAUGCAUGUUAAAUUUCCUCACUAAAUUCAAUAUUGUAUUCACUAACAUUAUAAAUGGCAGCCCCAACUAUAGCUAUUAAAGUUAGUCCUCGGUUUAACUAUGGUCUCUGCUUGAACUUUUGAACGAUAGACCGUGUUGAGAGAGAAGUUUAACACUUUUAUGCUUUCAUGGUUACAUGCUAGUUAGUAACGGAGUGCGCCAUUGGAUUAGUCCCAUUAUUUUAUACGGUUGGGGUUAAAAGUAAAGUUUAUCUACAGAUAAAACACCAAAGGCACUCGGAUACUGAAUGGAAUAUAACUAAAUGUUUCAUCAUAUGUAAAAAGAAAAAAGUCAGAGUUAAUUUUUAAUUUACGUCCUUUCAAACAUAUCACGAAUAAAAAUAUGGAAAAUUCAGUUUAAAAUUCAUCAUACUCGCUGACAGAGGCAUCUCUAUCAAGCCUCACUUGUCCGCAAAUUAAGGUCGGGGUAUUUCGUGCAUUGCACAGUCCGGACACGCAAUUUGGAAAACUACUCGUCAAAAUGAAAAUUUCUAUACUGCCGACAUUUGUGUAGGUUAGUUUGUUAAAAGACAACCUAGAUAGCUCAUUAAGAAAUAAAUUAUGUAGACUCUAACAUUCGUUGUUUUAAUACAAUCAUGGAAAUGAAACACGAAAUAAAAGUUUGAAUAAUAAUUCAGUUAUAGCUACACAGAACUAUAAUGGAGUUGAAGGGAGAAAUUAUCAACGUUGGAUAUAAAACACGAUAUAAUUGUUAGUUAUUUGCCGUGGAAACGGUUUUCUGAAUAAGCUUUUUAUUUAAGCUCUAUUCACAACCUGGCACAGUUCUUAUCAGCAGUUGCUAUCGCGGAACGUUGCAUUAUGAAAAACUGAAACUUUUAGUUCCACUGUUACUCGAGUACGUUCGUUAUGCUUUGUCGUUUGUACGUAUUUUAUUUCAUACACUUUCCAAACUAAAAUUGAAUCACCACUGAAAUUUUUAAAACAGCUUUUUCUAAUCUUUCCAAACAUAAUCGUUGAAAGGCUGCUUCGGGCUGUUGUUGAAAGAUCGACAAACCGGAUCUUUCCCGGGUUGAAACGCUUGAACUAUUAUCUAUACGACGCGGCUGUGCCAAAAUUCAUUGAUGGGUCUUGGCACACUGCAACUACGAGAUCCUCAGUUUACUAGUAGCUAUACGGAAGAAUAGCACAUACCGAAGAAGUUUGCUAGUAUUAAUUCAUUUCAUAUAUCUUUUAGAUUUUCACUCUUAGUGCUACGGAACCCCAAAGUCGUAUACAUUUGUGGCUAUAUGAAUAUUCAAGAUAUUAAUUCAAAACGUUAAGGUCAGAAUAGCUUUAAUUACUAAUGAUUGCAGAAUCUUCAUUCCCGGAAUAAAUAGGUAAAUGGGCGACCUAUAUUGCCCCAGCCUUUGCAUACUUGGGGAAGAAUUGUGGAGAAAGGCAUUUGGCUGGCAAUGCAUGCUCUUAUAUUCGCUCGGAGAGACAGCGUGAGGCUACAAUCUACUUUCGUAAUAAGAUAAUACCAAAGAUACUGAAAGCAUAUGAAAGGUUACAUACAUAUUUUGUAAGACAUGAGAUGUUGUUCAAAGAAUACUGUUUAGGUAAAUACCUACGCUUAUUUUUAUUCUCAUAUAGAUGCAAAACAAAGUAAACGUGGUUUGCAUACAAACUACCCACAAGUUGAAAUAAAUAAGUAGUUAAAUAAUAUCGUACUGUCUGUUUCAUUAUUAAAUGUUUUAAAUUUAAGUA